rnacentral:rRNA from 1 species
GACGAACGCUGGCGGCGUGCUUAACACAUGCAAGUCGAACGGAAAGGCCCUGCUUUUGUGGGGUGCUCGAGUGGCGAACGGGUGAGUAACACGUGAGUAACCUGCCCUUGACUUUGGGAUAACUUCAGGAAACUGGGGCUAAUACCGGAUAGGAGCUCCUGCUGCAUGGUGGGGGUUGGAAAGUUUCGGCGGUUGGGGAUGGACUCGCGGCUUAUCAGCUUGUUGGUGGGGUAGUGGCUUACCAAGGCUUUGACGGGUAGCCGGCCUGCGAGGGUGACCGGCCACAUUGGAACUGUGAUACGGCCCAGACUCCUACGGAGGGCAGCAGUGGGGAAUCUUGCACAAUGGGCGGAAGCCUGAUGCAGCAACGCCGCGUGCGGGAUGACGGCCUUCGGGUUGUAAACCGCUUUCGCCUGUGACGAAGCGUGAGUGACGGUAAUGGGUAAAGAAGCACCGGCUAACUACGUG